rnacentral:tRNA from 1 species
GCUGGCGUAGCUCAGUUGGUAGAGCAACUGAUUUGUAAUCAGUAGGUCGCUGGUUCAAGUCCAGUCGCCAGCUCCA